rnacentral:rRNA from 1 species
ACGGAAGGCAGCAGUGGGGAAUAUUGCACAAUGGGGGAAACCCUGAUGCAGCGACGCCGCGUGAGUGAUGAAGUAUUUCGGUAUGUAAAGCUCUAUCAGCAGGGAAGAAAAUGACGGUACCUCAUGAAUAAGCCACGGCUAACUACGUGCCAGCAGCCGCGGUAAUACGUAGGUGGCAAGCGUUAUCCGGAUUUACUGGGUGUAAAGGGCGCGUAGGCGGGGAUGCAAGUCAGAUGUGAAAUCCAUGGGCUUAACUCAUGAACUGCAUUUGAAACUGUAUCUCUUGAGUGCUGGAGAGGUAGAUGGAAUUCCUUGUGUAGCGGUGAAAUGCGUAGAUAUAAGGAAGAACACCAGUGGCGAAGGCGAUCUACUGGACAGUAACUGACGCUGAGGCGCGAAAGCGUGGGGAGCAAACAGGAUUAGAUACCCUGGUA